GUGAGGAUGUCCGAGUGGUUUAAGGGGGCGGUCUGCAAAACCGUCAUUCAUCGGUUCGAAUCCGAUUCCUCACUCAA
rnacentral:tRNA from 1 species